rnacentral:rRNA from 1 species
UAGGGAAUAUUAGAAAUGGACGAAAGUCUGAUCUAGCAACACCGCGUGUGCGAAGAAGGCCUUCGGGUCGUAAAGCACUUUUUGGAAGGAUUAGGAAGGAAUGUACUUCCAGAAUAAGUCUCGGCUAACUACGUGCCAGCAGCCGCGGUAACACGUAGGAGGCAAACGUUACCCGGAUUUACUGGGCGUAAAGCGCGUGUAGGUGGUUCUGUAAGUAGGGCGUGAAAGCUCCUGGCUCAACUGGGAGAGGCCGUUCUAAACUGCAGAGCUAGAGGAUGGUAGAGGGAGGUGGAAUUCCGGGUGUAGCGGUGGAAUGCGCAGAUAUCCGGAGGAACACCAGUGGCGAAAGCGGCCUCCUGGACCAUUCCUGACACUCAGACGCGAAAGCUAGGGUAGCAAACUG